CCCGUUUCACCAGUGACUUGGUGACAACCAGCCUUGCUCACGAAGCGUCAGCCGUAUCCUUUCUGUGUGCAGUGGGGUGUGGGUUGUGUGGAGCCGCGGUGUCUGUGGAAUUCACAGGCUGGGGCCGGAAUCCAUGGCCCCCGUCGCCGCUGCCACCCCCCAGGUGCUGGGGUGACCUGAUCCAGGGUUGGGGUCUAAGCUGCUGGGGGGUUGGAGUCUUGGGCUCUGGCCCACGUCCGCCUCUGAUUGGUUCUACCACCUGAGCCGGUCACUGACCCUCCAUGGGCCUCAGCUUACCCUAUGGUAAAGUGAGAACUAGGGGGUCAGACUCCUUGAUCACCAAGAUCUCUGACCACAGCCAAGGCUAAGGGAAGCGCAGGAAAACGUGGGGCUCGUCCAAAUUCCCAGCCUCUCUCUGCCCCCUGGUGGACGCCGGCAGCCUAGCACCCGGGGGGAGAUGACCCCGACACUGUGUGACCUCUGCCAAGGCACCCAUCCCUCUGAGCCCCAGUUCCCACCGGUUACAUAGGAAUGAUUAUAAUACCCACCUCUUUGGGCAAUUGUGAGGAGGCAAGGAGAUAAUACAUGCAAAGUGCUUGGAUGGGAUGGGUACUAGCCACUCAACAGAAGGCAGAUCCUAGAAUGGGGAUGGCAAGUCCUGUCAUCAGUGAAGAAUGUAAUGACUGCAAGCUUAGAUGACAUGUCUGUUACUGGAAACCAGAGUUGUUUACUUAAGCUGUAAAUGAACUCAUAGUCCCUGGGAUAAUUAUCUCACCUCUGGAUAAAUAAACUCAACAGCCUUAUGUAUUUUAUUAAUUUUUCUUAAAAAAAAGCUUAAAAUAUUUUUCCUUUGAUUUGUUCUCUUUCUUUGGUUUCUGACUUUAUUAUGUCCUUUCUUUCUGCUUAGGCAUUUGUUUUAUUGCUCUUUUUUCACCAACUCAAACUGAAUGGUCACCUUAACAGUUUUAUUGAGGUAUAAUUUACACACCAUAAAAUUCACCUGCUUUAAGGAUACUAUUCAAUGAUUUUUAGUACAGUUACAAAGUUAUGCAACCAUCAUCAAAACCCAAUUUUAGAAUAUUUCAAUCACCCAAAAAA
rnacentral:lncRNA from 1 species